GAGUUUGAUCAUGGCUCAGAUUGAACGCUGGCGGCAUGCCUUACACAUGCAAGUCGAACGGCAGCACGGGAGCUUGCUCCUGGUGGCGAGUGGCGAACGGGUGAGUAAUGCAUCGGAACGUAUCCUGGAGUGGGGGAUAACGUAGCGAAAGUUACGCUAAUACCGCAUAUUCUGUGAGCAGGAAAGCGGGGGACCUUCGGGCCUCGCGCUCUUGGAGCGGCCGAUGUCGGAUUAGCUAGUUGGUGAGGUAAAGGCUCACCAAGGCGACGAUCCGUAGCAGGUCUGAGAGGAUGAUCUGCCACACUGGAACUGAGACACGGUCCAGACUCCUACGGGAGGCAGCAGUGGGGAAUUUGGACAAUGGGGGCAACCCUGAUCCAGCCAUGCCGCGUGAGUGAGGAAGGCCUCGG
rnacentral:rRNA from 1 species